rnacentral:rRNA from 1 species
CUCAGUAACGCGUAGUCAAUCUAACCUAUGGACGGGGAUAACCUCGGGAAACUGAGAAUAAUACCCGAUAGAACAUUAUGCCUGGAAUGGUUUAUGUUUCAAAUAAUUUAUUGCCGUAGGAUGGGACUGCGGCCUAUCAGUUUGUUGGUGAGGUAAUGGCCCACCAAGACUAUUACAGGUACGGGCUCUGAGAGGAGUAGCCCGGAGAUGGGUACUGAGACACGGACCCAGGCCCUAUGGGGCGCAGCAGGCGAGAAAACUUUGCAAUGUGCGAAAGCACGACAAGGUUAAUCCGAGUGGUUUCUGCUAAAGGAACCUUUUGUUAGUCAUAGAACCACUAAUGAAUAAGGGGUGGGCAAGUUCUGGUGUCAGCCGCCGCGGUAAAACCAGCACCUCAAGUGGUCAGGAUGAUUAUUGGGCCUAAAGCAUCCGUAGCCUGCUUUGUAAGUUUUCGGUUAAAUCCAUACGCUUAACGUAUGGGCUGCCGGGAAUACUGCACAGCUAGGGAGUGGGAGAGGUAGACGGUACUCGGUAGGAAGGGGUAAAAUCCUUUGAUCUAUCGAUGACCACCUGUGGCGAAGGCGGUCUACCAGAACACGUCCGACGGUGAGGGAUGAAAGCUGGGGGAGCAAACCGGAUUAGAUACCCGGGUAGUCCCAGCUGUAAACUAUGCAAACUCGGUGAUGCAUUGGUUUGAUGCCAAUGCAGUGCCGCAGGGAAGCCGUUAAGUUUGCCGCCUGGGAAGUACGUACGCAAGUAUGAAACUUAAAGGAAUU